AUACGGAGGAUCCAAGCGUUAUCCGGAAUCAUUGGGUUUAAAGGGUCCGUAGGUGGAUAAUUAAGUCAGAGGUUAAAUCCUGCAGCUCAACUGUAGCAUUGCCUUUGAUACUGGUUAUCUGGAGUUAUUAUGAAGUAGUUAGAAUAUGUAGUGUAGCGGUGAAAUGCAUAGAUAUUACAUAGAAUACCGAUUGCGAAGGCAGAUUACUAAUAAUAUACUGACACUGAGGGACGAAAGCGUGGGGAGCGAACAGGAUUAGAAACCCUAGUAGUCC
rnacentral:rRNA from 1 species